rnacentral:rRNA from 1 species
UACGAAGGGUGCAAGCGUUACUCGGAAUUACUGGGCGUAAAGCGUGCGUAGGUGGUUGUUUAAGUCUGUUGUGAAAGCCCUGGGCUCAACCUGGGAAUUGCAGUGGAUACUGGACGACUAGAGUGUGGUAGAGGGUAGUGGAAUUCCUGGUGUAGCAGUGAAAUGCGUAGAGAUCAGGAGGAACAUCCAUGGCGAAGGCAGCUACCUGGACCAACACUGACACUGAGGCACGAAAGCGUGGGGAGCAAAC